rnacentral:rRNA from 1 species
GACGAACGCUGGCGGUGUGCUUCACACAUGCAAGUCGAACGAGGUAGCAAUACCUAGUGGCGGACGGGUGAGUAACGCGUGGGAAUCUGCCCUGAGAUGGGGGAUAGCAGGCCGAAAGGCCUAUUAAUACCCCAUAUGUGUAUACCUCGACAGGGGUGUACAUGAAAGGAGUAAUCCGUCUCUGGAUGAGCCUGCGUCCGAUUAGCUAGUUGGUAGGGUAAAGGCCACCAAGGCUUCGAUCGGUAGGUGGUCUGAGAGGAUGAUCACCCACAAUGGGACUGAGACACGGCCCAUACUCCUACGGGAGGCAGCAGUGGGGAAUUUUGUG